rnacentral:rRNA from 1 species
UACGAAGGUGGCAAGCGUUGUUCGGAAUCACUGGGCAUAAAGGGCGCGUAGGCGGUGCCUUAAGUCGGCUGUGAAAGACCUCGGCUCACCCGAGGAAACGCAGCCGAUACUGAGGUGCUAGAACACGGAAGGGGAAGGUGGAAUUCCAGGUGGAGCGGUGAAAUGCGUAGAUAUCUGGAGGAACACCGGUGGCGAAAGCGGCCUUCUGGUCCGUUGUUGACGCUGAGGCGCGAAAGCUAGGGUAGCAAACAGG